rnacentral:rRNA from 1 species
UACAGAGGGUGCGAGCGUUAAUCGGAAUUAUUGGGCGUAAAGGGUGCGUAGGUGGAAGAAUAAGUCAGAUGUGAAAUCCCUGGGCUUAACCCAGGAAUAGCAUAUGAUACUGUUUAUCUAGAGUGAAGGAGAGGGUAGCGGAAUUCUCGGUGUAGCGGUGAAAUGCGUAGAUAUCGGGAAGAACACCAGUGGCGAAGGCGGCUACCUGGCCUUUUACUGACGCUGAGGCACGAAAGCAUGGGUAGCGAACAGG